rnacentral:rRNA from 1 species
GACGAACGCUGGCGGCGUGCUUAACACAUGCAAGUCGAACGGAAAGGCCCUGCUUUUGUGGGGUGCUCGAGUGGCGAACGGGUGAGUAACACGUGAGUAACCUGCCCUUGACUUUGGGAUAACUUCAGGUAACUGGGGCUAAUACCGGAUAGGAGCUCCUGCUGCAUGGUGGGCGUUGGAAAGUUUCGGCGGUUGGGGAUGGACUCGCGGCUUAUCAGCUUGUUGGUGGGGUAGUGGCUUACCAAGGCUUUGACGGGUAGCCGGCCUGAGAGGGUGACCGGGCACAUGGGGACUGAGAGAGGGACCAGACGGGUAUGGGAGGCAACAGGGGGGAAUCUUACACAACCAGCGGGAGCGGGAUGCAGAGGCGCCGCGUGCGUGAUGACGGCUUUCUGGUUGUAAACCGCUUUCGCUUAUGACGAAGCGGGAGUGACGGUAACGGAUAAAGAAGCACCGGCUAACUACGUG